rnacentral:rRNA from 1 species
CCUACGGGAGGCAGCAGUGGGGAAUAUUGGACAAUGGGGGCAACCCUGAUCCAGACACUCCGCGUGAGUGAUGAAGGCUUUAGGGUUGUAAAGCUCUUUCACCGGUGAAGAUAAUGACGGUAACCGGAGAAGAAGCCCCGGCUAACUUCGUGCCAGCAGCCGCGGUAAU